UUCUAACAUUUCACUCUCCCAUUCUUUCUCUUUCAGGUUUUCAGAAAUUUCAGAUGGGGUCGGUCAAGGUCAAAGUAGAUGUUACCCAGACGAUUUU
ensembl:snoRNA F33E11.7 ncRNA